UCUGUCUAUCUGUCUCUAACCCAAACACACCAAACAAAAUGGAGAAAUCAGAAGGAGAAGAGUGCUUGUUCAAGAUAGUGGUGAUUGGGGACUCAGCGGUGGGAAAAUUGAACUUGCUCUUGCGAUUUGCGAGAGACGAGUUCGAUUUGCACUCAAAAGCCACAGUGGGAGUAGAUUUUAGACCUAGGUGAUGGAGCUUGAUGGCAAGGAGAUCAAAGCCUAGGUCUGGGACACCGUCGGCCAAGAGCGCUUCCGCGCCGUCACCUCCGCCUACUACAAAGGCGUUGUUGGUGCUCUCGUCGUCUACUAUAUCACUCGCCGGACUACUUUCGAUAGCAUCAAGCAGUGGCUCGAUGAACUCAAGACUGCAAAAAUUGGAGAGGGAAUACCGUUAGAUCAUGGGACGGGUGUAGUUGUUGGCGAAACUGCUGUUAUAGGGAAUAGAGUUUCACUGAUGCAGGGGGCUUUGAGGUGUGGUUGAUGUUGUCUACCUCUUUGUGUUGAUGCUGUCUAUCUCUUGGUUUGCUGCUGCUCUAUGCUGUUAUACUAUUGUGUGUUUUGCUGCUGCUGUCUCUUUGAGUUGGGCUUUUCCAUCUCGUUGUUUGGUGCUGCUCUAUGUUGUUAUAUUGUUGUGUGUUUGCCGCUGCUAUCUAUAGUGGUUGCUGCUGCUCCGUAUUGUUUAGCUGCUACUGCUGCUGUGUUGUUAUAUGCUGUGUUGCCCUGCUUUGGUUUUUUGCUGGUUGGUUUCUCAUCAACUAGCUUUUGGCUAGUGCUAGCACAUGAUUGGGUGGCUUUCUUGUGCUAACCUGGUUGGGAUGAGUGUGUUUUUGUUGGGGGCAAAGCCGGAGUUGGCAAGUGCUAAAGUGUGCCCUCUAAUUUGCAAAGCAGCAGACUACAUGACAUGCGACUCGACAGGCGAAGAGAGGCUCAGUGCGCCAUGCAACUGUUGCUUAGCCGGGAAGGGUUGCACCAUCUACUACUCUGAUGGAACCUCUGCAAUCUGCUGAAACACAAUUACAAACUCCCUCCUUAAUAAUGAGAUUACAAUCUCAAUAGUUGUUUUGUUUGUGUCUUCAUAAAUAAAUAGUUUUGCCACGACUCUUUACUGUUUGUUACAAGAAAUCAUAUUUCAAAAACAUGUAUGUGUGUACUGUACUCUCUCUAUUGUGUAAUAAAGAAAUAGUUGUGCCUUUGCGCAACAAAUUUGAAUA